AUUGAACGCUGGCGGCAGGCCUAACACAUGCAAGUCGAGCGAGCGGCGGACGGGUGAGUAAUGUAUGGGGAACUGCCUGAUAGAGGGGGAUAACUACUGGAAACGGUGGCUAAUACCGCAUACUAUCGGAUGAACCCAUAUGGGAUUGGCUAGUAGGUGGGGUAAAGGCUCACGUAGGCGACGAUCUCUAGCUGGUCUGAGAGGAUGACCAGCCACACGGGGAGUGAGACACGGCCCAGACGCCCAGGGGAGGAACAAGUGGGGAAUAUUGCACAAUGGGCGAAAGCCUGAUGCAGCCAUGCCGAGUGUAUGAAGAAGGCCUUAGGGUUGUAAAGUACUUUCAGCGGGGAGGCGUUACCAGCAGAAGAAGCACCGGCUAACUCCGUGCCAGCAGCCGCGGUAAUUC
rnacentral:rRNA from 1 species